CCAUACUCUCGCAGUUACUUAUUUUUAGCUCUUGGAGCUGCAAUAGACUACCAACCAUGCAACUAGUGAAAACAUGUCCAAGAAAUCGACAUCUUUUAAUUGAGACCUUUGUAAGGUUUGGAAAGUUCAACACUAUCCACCGAUUGCUCUUCCACAUAUGUUUCAGGUUACGUAGUCCAUCCAGAGCCACCUCUUUUAGCUUCUCAAAUACCACAACAGAUUGUGUUUCAAUAUCCACAUCUUCAUUUGUCCCUUCUGCUACUUCAAAUACCUCCUCUGCUACAGAUUCAUAUGCAUUGGUAAUAGAAAGCUUUUCAAGAUUCUUCAAAUUAAGCAACUCCUUGCAUGGAAAAAUCACGCGGCUUUCCAACAAUUUGCCAUUCCAUUGUGCAUCUACUUCAACUAAAUUUGAAAAAGACCACGGGAACUGAACUAGCUUUAUCAUAUCUGGAGUAGAGCACAUAGGGAGUUGAGUCUGCUUAGAAAAAACAAACAUAGAUCAUCUCAAACACUACAAUUAUAAAGGACAAAUACAUUUAGUAUAUAAACAUAGUAAAGGAUUGCAAGUUCUAUUAUUUUUAAACGAGCCAACAUGUAUUUCCAAUCAACAACCUAGUUUAUGGCACUGCUUACAUUAUUUUCUGAGAAGAUGAGCACUGUGAAGAAAAAUUCUGAUUUAUACAUUGCAUUUGUUUAAACAAUUUAGAUUUUAUCGAUGAUUGUCGAUUUGUUUAAACAAUUCAGAUUUUAUCAAUGAUCGAGCUUUUUAAAUAAAAGAAAAAAAUUAAAUAUUUGUGUUUGUGUGUGUGUGUGUGUGGGGUGGGCGGAUAAAAUAAAAAGUAAAACUGUAAAAGUUAAGUGUUUUGGCUACUUCAAAUAGGUAGUUUUUCAUGUACUGAAUGUUUACAUCCAAGUUUUUUAGGAAAAAAGAUAACUAUGUUAUUGUAUUUUUAUUGCAUUGUCAAAUACAACAAAUGAUAUAUGGAUGAUAUGCUUAUACUUUUACAAUCAUCUCAGCAAUACUAUUUUUGUCAAAUUUAGGUAAUAAACGCUACAUAAAUGUUUAGCUUGUCGAAGAUGAGAGAGAAAAGAACAACUUGAUUAAGUAACUACUAACAUCACAACACUAGAAAAUAUGUGAGAUAAUUGGAUUAAACUGGAUUAAAACGAUAUAAAUGAUUCAAUUACAAAAUAUAGCUCCAUACAAAAAUCUAUUUGUUAAUAGAUAUGAGUGAAAAUAUGUAAAAUAAGCUAAUGCUUUUAUUUCCAUCUAUUUUGUGUUUUUUUCUUAACCGAAUGAAGUUGUUUGUUCUAAGUUCCUAAUUAAUGAUUUAUAAACUUUCAAAUGAUUUGAAUAAGAAUGAACUUGCCAAGUAUCAUUUGUAAUACACAAGAAAAUAGUUUUUUAUAUUCAUAUAUUUGAUAUAAAUUCUUAAAUCUUCUGUUUUCAAGGAAAGAAACUAUUAUGUGAAUUUUAGAAGCCCUUUUUCUUAGGUGCUUAUUUUGUUAUGCCUUUAGUCGAAUACUUGCCCAGACUCCAAACCUUCAAGCCACUAGUUAGAUUUGUUUGUUUUUUCGGUCCAUGCGUUUGUCGAUUUUUGCGGUUACGGUCCCUGUGGUUCCAAAAUUACAAAGUUGGUCCUUCUCACCAGGUUUGUAUCAAAAUUGAAAAGACUGAUUUACUGUUUUAAUUUCUUUUUUUAGAUUUUCUUUAAUAUUAAUUAAACAUUAAAAAAUGCAAAAAAGAAAAUAAACCCCUAACCCCCACCCAACUCCUCCUUUCUUUACCUUCUUUCUCUGUGAUGCUGUUGGGGUUGCAAGCCGGUGAAAAUAGGGACAAUGUAAAGAAGAAGGGGUUGUUGAUCUGAUUCUGAUCAAACGGAAACUAGUAUAGUAUAUGUUCAAAAAUCUUUGGACAUGGAAAAAACCACCCUCAAUGAAUGCGUCAAUUGGGCCUUUAAUUGUCUUUACUUCAUCUAACUUGAUUUAAAUAUUAAAUUGCUACCUUAUGAAUUAGUGAAUAUAACAUCUUUCAUAACAUAAGGGAUAACUUAAUAUCUUAGGAAUGAAAUAUUAAUUUUUAAUAAAAAAUAAGAUUGCAUAUUUUCAUAACUUUUCAUGGAUAUAAAAAAGGGAAGUGGUUAUAUAUGUAUCUUCAUUUGGUUUUGUUUUAUGUUUCCUUCUGGAAUACAAAUAUGAACCUGCCACCUAAUUUUUGUAAGCAAAUAAUAUGUUGAACAUCAUAAAACGACAUGCUGAUCACCUGGUUAAAUGAUGAAAUAAAGUGAUAACAUACCUCAUCCUCAUGUGUAGCAUUGGUCAAACGGAAGUUGAGGCCAUAUUGAUCAAGACUAUGCUUGCCUAAUUCUGUAUGUAUGUAGUUGAGCUUCGGAGUCAUGGAGUGACCAGAUGUGAAAGUCAUCAUUUGUGGGCAGCCAUAAAUCUUAACCUUUUCCAAUGCUUUCCACCUGAACUCAUUCGUCCCCAAGAAGAAACCCUUGAGAUCUGGUAAAUCUACAAGUGUAAGGGACUUGAGAUGUGGGAAGACUAUAAUAGAUUUAGAUUUUUCUGUGUGCUCUGUGUCUUCCUUCACAAUCACUUUCAUUGCCUUGCAUUGUUUUACAGUCAGUUCUUUGAGUUGCUUGAGGCUUUCAAGUGUGGAACUUGUGAUUAUAUAUUCCAAUACUUCACAUCUUUCUAUUUCCAAUAUCGUCAGGUUGGGCAAUUGAAGCAGAGUCAUAUUUGCAGACCUUGGGAUGGUGAUUGCAGUACAAGUAUCAUCACUUCCAUCACCAACAUUCGUAGUACUAUCAACACCAUCUUUGUUUAUUUCUUUACUUUCAAAUAUCUCCACCAUUGACUUACAUUCUACUAUUAUCAACUCUUCAAGCUUAUUCAGUUGUCCCACUACAUUGGAUGGAAACACUCUUGAUAGGGCAGGACACUCCACUAUAUCAAUCUUUUUGGAGUAUUGACAUAAGAACCAAGAAGCAACACCGACUUGAGAACACUACAACAACACAUGAAAAAUCAAUGGAUCUAUUUUAAUUAACAAAGCUUAGAUGUUUGCUACACACAUACACACUACAAUUUAACAUAUCAUUUGUUUCUAAAAGUGUGGUAACAAACACAAGUGCUUCCCACAACUAAGGUAAUUAAGUAACAAUGUGGACAAUGUAAGUUGAACUACAAAAGGGCAAUAUACAGAAAAAAUGGAUAAAAGGUCUAGGAAUAAAGAGAAACCAAAUCGUGGUGUUUGGACUCCUUGAGGAAGAAGGUUUGUCAAAUGACCAAAAUACCCUCGUUAUACAUAUAUGACAAAAUAAGUAAAAACAAGAAACUAAUCAGUUGUAUGCUAUGCUUAUAUUGUUGGCAGGAGAGAACAAGUAGAUGGUGGAUGAAAGAAAAGGCACACUAAAUCAAUCAUAAAAGUGGCCUUAAUUAUAUAGGCUUAGAAGAGAUUAUGACAACCUACAAAUAGGAAACUGACACAAGAAAAAUAAAACUGCUACGUGCUAAAUAACACAGCUAAUUAGCAUUUAUUCAAAUUAAAACUUGAAAAUGAAGAGACUUUGAAGUACUUUGAUUAGCAAUUAAUCAACAUAUAUUUCUCGUGCAGAAGCAAAGUGUAUGACACUGGAAGUGGACAUGGUGGUCAUGAUAUUGGUUAGUCUCAUCUUUGAAACUAAAAAAAAAGACAAUAAAUAUGAGAUAUAAACACAUGAAAGGAUGAUAUAAAGCAUAAAAUAAACAAAUAUUUCACCUGGAUUUAUAGCUAUGAAAUUUACUUAUCUGAACUGAAGAAGGUCUAAAUGAAAGAAAUAACAACGCAUUUCCAUUUAUUCGUUUAUUAUAACAUCCUACUUUCAUUUCUUUAUAUUGCAGUAACGGAAAUCCUUUGUAUUUGAAUGAAAUUGCAAUAAAUGGGUGAGUUACUUAAAUUACAAUGCUUUAAUAGGAAAAAAUGAAAGUAAGAUGCUCUUAUAAUCAUAUCAGUGAAAGUAAAAUGCUAUUUCUAUAAUUUUAGACUUUAAUAAAUGACCCAAGACUACCAUAUAGGUACUUUGAAAAUCCACCCAACUAUAGCAUUGUACUUUCGACUUUUCUUAUCAGGCCGUUGUAGCCACAUAUAAUUGGGUAUAUUUUUUCAAAGUAUGAUGCUAUAAUGGGAAGAAAUGAAAGUAGGAUGAUGUAAUAAGAAAAUAAAGGAAAGUAUGUUGAACAGAGAAAAUGACUAAAAAUAUAGUGGUUUUUCUGUAUAUGGUUUAUGAAGAGAAAACAAAUGUCAUUGGACUAUAUAACCCAUUACCCCCUCAAUGUGAGAAAAUGAAAAUAUAAUUGUACUUCUAAAUUUAUUUAUUAUUAGGAAAUGAGUUUGAAAUUAAUAUGCUUAUAUUUCCGUACCUGCAUUGAUUACAUGCAUCAUCUUCUUCAUGUUUUAAAUAAUUUUACUAACAUGAAGGGUUAAUUUAGGACACAGUGACAAAAGGAAGAAAAAUUUAAUAUGGAGAAUGUUAGCAUCUGAUCAGCCGUUAUCAAUAAUUAAUUUAUUCCAAGUCUUCCAUCAUGUGUGUGCUACAUCUAAACCCACAUAUUUUGGUCUAGAUAAUCUGAUCUUUAGAAAAGAAAGUUUAUAUUUUAGCAUUUGUGAAUAUAGAAUUCUCAAAAAAAGUUUAUAUUUUUGCAUUUGUGAAUAUAGAAUUAUUGAGAAGGCCAAAUCCAAGAAACAGAUAAUGACUCUUAUCAAUAUCAGUAUCUAUAGUGAAAAUAAAGGUGCGUUUAUUAUACAUCUAUGAUUGUUCAUUAGAUUGUAUAUUGCAAAAUCUAUCUUGAUUCUAAUAUUCAGAAUAGAAAGCAUUUUUAGAACAAUUUUUCUUUUCAAGGGAGUCAUUUUCAAUAUAGACUUGGGAAAUUAUACUAGAUAAAUGUAGAUCUUGAGACUUCCCAUAACUGACAAUCUUGUCCUUUGGCUCGAUGAUCGAUCACUGUCUUAAAUUUAAUACUUUUAAAAAAAAGUUGUAAACAGGAGUCUUUUGCCAUAUAUUGUAUUUAUAUAUUUUCAGUUGGAACACUAGAUAUACUUAGGUAAAGUUUGAUAUUUUUCAGUUCCAUGUCAGAAAAAAAAAGAUUUUUUUUUGAAAGAUUACAAAAAAAAAUAUUUCUUUUAAACAACAAAGUGAACUUUAUUAAGCUAAAAUUGCAAGCUAGGGAAAAAAAAAAAAAAAACAUGAAUAAAAUCAUUUUUGUUCCAGUUUUCAUAUUACUUAACAAUCAAGAGUAAUGUUGAUAUGACUUAUAUACAUUUAUCAAUCAAUUUUUUUCUCUCCCUCACAAUCCGGUCUAAAUCCAUCAUCUGUUUUAGUUAACUUAACUAAAACUGGAUAAAAAAAAUGCUUUUCAUAAGAUUUAUAACCAUGCUUAAGAGAAAGAACUCUAAUGACCUAUGCAAACGAAUAAACUGUAAAAAAAAUUAGGUAUUCAGUUAGUUAUUUUGUCUUUCCAGCUUCAGAAGAAUUAGCUUAUUGAGUUAUAUAAAGCAGCUAAUGGAGAAGAAAACAUUAAAAAUAAAUAAAUAAAUAAAUAAAACAAAUAACUGAAAUGAUACCUGGAACUGAUCAUGGAUGGAAGUAGUUGUGAUUGUAGUACUGCCAUCGAUGCUCUUUACGCUUGGCAGAGAACUGAGGAUGAGUUGAUCAAGAAGAGGGAAGGAGGAGAUGGUGUUUGUGUGAGUAGAAGAUAUUAUUUCUUCAUUUUCAUCAUUAAUAUCUCUUUUUGAAACAACUUCUUCAAUACCAGCACAACGUUCUAUCCAGACCUCCUUUAAGUUGGGAAGAAGUUUGCCCAUGACAGGUGAAAAUAAGUACUUUAUGCUUUUGCAAUUCCAUAUUUGUAUGGUUGUGAGGUUGUGGAAUGAGUAGGAUUGUGAUUGGUUUUGAGGAAUUACAAGUUUCUUCCAAUUGCACUUCCACACAUCACUCAUCCUCUCCAUAUCAUAUAAAUAUAAUUCCUUGAGGUGGGGAAGUAGUAGUGGUGGUGGUUGAUGAUUAUAUUUAUGCAGAGUUGUUGUGAAAUCUGUGCUGCUGCUGCUGUUGCUACUGGAACUCUCUAUCUCAAACACCACUUCAACAUCCUUACAGCCUCCAUUUAACCAAAGUGUUUGAAGGUGAUUAACGUGAAAAGGUUUGGGAUGAAUUGAGGAUUCAACGUCAGGAAUAUUACCAUCCACCACUGAAAUGAUCUCUGCCUUGGAUAUAACAUUAAUCUGCAAAUAUUCAACAACAAAUAUAAUUCAGAAUUUCCAUCAACUAAAUUUUUAAAUUAAGUAUUCAUAAAUGGCACACCUGUUUAAAUCUAUUUACAUAACUAAAGUUGACAGCGAUUAAAUUAGCGGAUUUUAAAUAAUUUCCAAUGAUAACUUAUUUGACACAUACAAUAAAUAUUCAAAAUACUCGCACUUACACAAAUAUGUAAAAAUAACUUUUUUAGACUAACGUACAAAAUUGGUUAUCUGGUUUUUUGGUUUACAUACAAAAAAAUCAUUUUGCAAAUUUGAUCCCUAUCACUCACACCGUUAACUUACAUCGGUUAAAACCUUAUAAAAUGACUAUUUUGCCCUUCUUUUAUUUUUUAUUAUUAAUUAUCAUGAAAAUUAUUCAUAGGUCGCACCACCCAUAUAUCGCCCCAAUGUCCCCCUCUUUCCCCUUUCACCAUAUUCCUCCAUUGCAAUCACUUUCCUCCAUUACCAUAUCAAUCUCAGGUGCAUUUUCAUCAUCAUCAAGCAUGGAAAAUGCAAGGCAUAGCAUAAAUUCAACAACCAUAUCUUGUCAUCUUCAACACAUUAUUCAGUGAGUUGAAAUCCAAAAUCAUCAUUUAAGAUGCAAGUAUCAUAAAACAUACACCCAAUAAAAUAGAAAAAAGGCAAUGCUUACAACAUAUUGUCACAAUCCAAAACCAGACAACAUGUUUCCAAAAGAAAUUAUACUUUUUGGGUAUCAGAUGGGUGAAAUCUUAAAUUUAAGUGAAAAAGUUGCAGGACAAGUGGGUGAUGAUGCAAGAACAUCCAAUUUCAGUUGAGAUUUACAAACAAUUGUUGUGAGAUAUCCUUUAAGACUUCAUAUAUGAGUAUAUGACCUAAUGAAGGAAACACAGAGGGGAGCUGAGAUGCUCACUUGGAGGGAGGACCAAGAUAAAGGGGACAAGAUUUUAAUAUUUACUCUUUUUUUUUUUUUUACCAUAAAUCAAUAAUUUUGAGUGAUCACUUAAUUGAUCUCUAGAAUAAAUAUGUAAAAUCUUCGCAUUUAAUGGAAAUAUAUAUAAAUAUUAAUUUUCAAUCCCUCUUAAUAAUGCGGUGUAAAUAUGUAAUAUUUGAAGUUACAAUUGUUAUAAAAUACUAAACAAAUGCUUAAGUAUAGUGAAAUAACAAAAAUAAGAAAAUAAGAAAAACUUGUUUAUAAAUAUGUAAAAGUGAUAAUAUAAAGGUUGAAAGACAUCAAUACUUAGCACUGUAGGAAAUCUAGCCUACUUCUCCACACUUAAAAAUGUAGUAUAUCUGUAAUUUGUCCAUGUUUUCAAAUGUGGAGUAUUAAAUUGUUUAUCCACAUUUUGAAGUGUAAAGGUUUAGAUACACGUACACAUAUAAGUGUGAGGGUAUAUAUAGAGGCACAUACAAAUAAGUGUUGUAACAUCACAUACCUCCCGGCUGUUCUGAACCAAUUCAAUGUUACUCCCGGUUUCUUCCCAAGGUCUCAUACCAUCUAUACUCACAUUCAUAAGUGUCCUCACAUCAGAAUUGGUGACGGUCGGUGUGAAUACGUUUACAAACCUCUCACAAUUGUAUAUUUGUAUACUUUCAACAGCUUGAAAGCUACGGAUGAGGAUAUCAGAGCUACUUUCACCUUUCAUCCUCCACAACUCUCUUAGCUUCCCCAAAUUAUGUACUUUAAUGAGUCUCAAGUUGCUACUGUACUCUUCAAUUUCACCAACACAACUCAUGUCGAUGUUAAAUAACAAUUCAAUGCUUCCACAAUUAGAAACAUCCAGCUUUUCCAGACGACCCAGCAAAGACAUGGGAUUGGUUGGAAACAGAUUCACAAGAUUAUCACAUUCCCUCACUCUAAUCUCUCUCAACAUGCAGGCAUUAACUUCGUCACUACUACUAAAUUGAUAAGGCCAUAUCUCUUUCAGCUUAUCCAUCCUCAAAAUCUCCAAUUUCUCCAGCAUAGGAAUCAACACCUGCGCAACAAUUAGGACAUGUUGAUCAUCAAUAACACCAUCUAAUGACAAUAUAUUGGGCAAUUAUAUUAAAAAUAUUUUGGUUAAGGAAUGUACCCCUUUGUUGAAGAAAGGUUGAAUUGCAGAGACAUUACUGGACAUAGAAGAUGUUGCAGAUGUUUUCUCAGGAUAAAUGCUACUGAAAUUAGGAAGGCCAUCAAGUUUCAACUCCACCAGCUGUGGUAGCUCAAUUACAUUAGCAGUGUUGCAAAGACCUAUCAACUCUGGUAGCAUCUUCAAUGAUAGAAACUUUAGCCCCUGAAACCUAAUUGCCCCAUCUCCACCAUUCUCACUAUGUGCAAGUACUUCCAGAACAGGGCACUGUGAAACUGUGAGGCGUUCAAGGUUCAUCAAACCAUUUGCAAUAGGGACUGUGAAGAGGAAUCUCAAGUUUGCACACUUGAAGACAUCAAGGACUCUUAGAUUAUUAAACGACUGUUGAUGAAAAUCAUCCAUACCAUCCACUUCUAGAUAAAGCACCUCUGUUUUCACAAACAACUCAUUCAAUCUAGAUUCCAAUAGCUCAUCUUUGUUAGUGACCAACAUCAACGUGUUUUCAAAUGAGUGCAUCUUUAAUCCAGGAUUGUCUCCUAAACCACAUCCCAUAGAGAUCCUGAACCUUUUGAGUUUAGUAAACAGCAUAUUCUCGGGUGUACCGUUGUCAAAGAACUCAACUUCUAAUGCAGAAAGGUGCUCUGAAAGUUUUGCUAAUUCAGCAUGAUUACUGUCUGUGAACCUAAUUGCCUUUUCAUCAGCAACUCUCAUAUAAAACUCUUCAAGAUUGACCAAAUCUUUCAAAACACCAUCAUCAAUACGAAGAUUGACACAGCCCGUCAAAUCCAGUAGCUUUAGCUUCUUCAACUUUCCGAUUGUGGAUGGUAACUUUCUGAUGCCACAAUAAGCAAAACUGAGCACUUCCAAAUUCAAGAGUUCACCAAUAACAGAGCAAUCAAGCAUCAAUGUGCAUCGAUGGAAGACGAGUGUCCGAAGCUUGGUGGAGCACUGAAGUGAUCUGGGGAGCAACGGAUACUGCAUUUUUUCGUACGCUAUAACUUCAAGAUUUUCCAUUCUUUCAUAAAAAUCUUCAGGAAACAUAAGCGACUUAUCUCCAUCCAUAAGUCUCAAAAGUGAUACGUUUGGGUACUUAGACUCACUAGAAAACUCAGACAUACCCGUGCAAGUAAUAGAAAUUCUGUUACAAGACUCACUGGUUCCAGCACUAGUCCACUUUGAAUUAUCACCAUGGUUGAUUAUCCAUGGAUGGUCACCCUUAGAAACUCUACCUACAACAAAAUCGAGCACAAGAUCAUGCAUUCUGACACACCCAUCAUCAUCGCAUUCCAUCAACAAAUUUGCUUUUUUGAGACUCUGCACACACGUCUCUGUCCUGUCUCUAGCCUCUCCCAAAGUAGAAACUCCAUUUAACAACCGUAGGCCCCAUGCAUGUCUUGUGAGUUCCUCGAUUGGAAUAUUAAAGUCAUCGGGAAACAAACCACAAAGAAGAAAGAUCUCUUUUUCCUCAUCCUCUUUUAUAUAGUCAUAGCUUAUCUUAACACUUUCUUGCACAUAAUCAAGAUUUUUAUUCUGAAAACGGCGGAGUGUAUCUCUCCAUGCAGCCUUUUCUUCAAACUUAAGACGACUGGCAACGAGAUUAAUGGCAAGGGGCAAACACCCACAUUCUCUCACAAUCUCUGUUCCAAUUUGAUUGAGCUCCCGAUCAUUUUGUUUUGCGACUCCUAUGAUUUUCCAAAAGAAAUUUUGUGCUUCUAGCUCCUCCAUGAGUUCCACUCUAACUACUUUCAAAUCAAAAUUACAUUUUUCUGCAAUUUGCUUGCAAGUAUUUUCCUUUCGUGAUGUCAGCAAUAACUUGAAGCUGUUGGGAAAAGGACUUAGUCCAAUAUCUUUGAGAUCGAUCGACUCCCAUACAUCAUCUAAUAUCACUAAAACCUUUUUGUUUUGUUUUACCAGCUCUGUAAAUGCUAUACCAAGACGUUCUGCCCUUCUUGUUGGAUCUGUUUCAGUUAGAGAUAGACUUACGCAUUCUGCCAAAGCUUGCUGAAUAGCAGACGCUUCUUUUUUCCCAAUAACCACCUUUAGAAACAAAUCAAACUUUUUCUCACCUUCCAGAUGCUUUUUCAGCUGUUCCAUCAUGGUCGUUUUUCCCACACCACCCAUUCCACAUAGGGCUAUCAUCUGAUUUUGUUGAAGGAACCCGAGCGCAUCCUUAAAAGGCUUCUCUCUUGAUUUGAAGUGAUUUUGGGCAUCACCAUCCGAAGAUGCGAUUUUAGAAUGCACUCUCCCAAGAGGUUUUUGAGCAUCACUCCAGCUCAUUUGAAGUUUUUCCGUAAUAAGACUUUCGAUCGCCUCAGUAGUCUUACAUGCCUUCCUUCCUGCUCGGUACCUCAUUAUUAUGUUAAAACAUCCACUCUCAGUACUUGAAAUGCUUUGAGCAUCUUUUCUAAUCUGUUCAACCUCUUCCAACCAACCCGGUACACGCUCAGGUAUCUCUAGAUUCUUUAUAUUGUUUGCGUCCCUGUGAUUUUUGACAUCAAUGCUUAUAACAUCCAGUUGGUUCAUUUUAGCACUCAUGUUCCUCACAUGUUUUGUGGAGGAAAAAAGAUAACCCAGAUUUUUCUUGACAGGAGGCAGCAAACAUUCAACAAUUGGACCAGCAAUGAUUUCAAGUAUAAACGCCAUUUUUUUUUGUUCUAGCUUUUUGUGAGACCUGCAAACCGUGUAACAAAUCAAUAAAGGGCAUGAAAUAACAAAAGUUGUGAUUUAGUAUACAUUUAUGCAUUCAUGUUUUAUUAUUAGUAUGUAGAAGUAGAACUAUCUUUUUUCCAAUAUCAUUUAUAAUCCAUAGAUAAAUAGUGUUCAAAAAAUUUAUUCUAAGACUUCGAUACCUUGCAUGGGAAGAGGAAUAGUACACAUAACACAUUUAGUAAGAAACUAAGAUCAGAUGUAGGAAAACUAAUGCUCGUGUAAAUUCAGACAAGUUAUUUAUUUUCUUGUGGAUAUUCCCUUUUGGACUUAAACUUUGCUUUCGUAAACAUAGUGGGAAUAGGUGUUGAUUUCAACAUAUCAUCAUGUGAAUAAUUACAUUACAUUUGAAAAUCUUACACAUAUCAUUGUACAGUCCAAACACAAACAUGCAUAGGUAACAAGGAAAAUGUGAUUCUCACAUACUUCGAUGAUGGAUUAUACUCUUGUGAGUCUAUCAAUUCUGUAAAAAACAAUCAAGAUGAAAUAGAAGACAAAACCUAACUACAAAGAUUUUGGGAAAUUUGAACCCUAUUGAGACUUUUAUAAGGAACUUGUUGUGGACAACUCUCCACAUGAGGAUAGAUUAAGAAAGCCUUGAAUGAGAAAAGAAAAGGCAUGCAUAAUCUUGUAUAAGAAAAAGAAAAACCCACAUCUGCAUUUGUGGAACCUGGAGUGUGGUUGGCAUUUUCAAAAAGUUCCCCUUUUUCACUCUCUCUGUACUUACGUCCAUUACCUUUCUAUCUCUCCACCAAAAAAAAAAAACUCUCAAACCCUUGGAGUUUCCCCUUACAGUGAGAAGGAGUAAUGCCGAAAAAAAAAGGUAGAAAAAAUUAAAGGACGGGUCCCAGUUUAAUCGAUGACCUCGAGACCAAGCUAGACAACACCAUCUCUCGUAAGCUUGUAGGUUGCCUCUGCCAUGAUUACGAUAGCAUUAUUCCAUACUUCAAUUAAAUGGGGGCAAAAGCACGUUGUGAAAUUGUUAGGUUUUACAGGCAACAGCUAAUCGAUCGAAGGCAUGAUAUGAAUCUUCUUGAAUUAUCAGCAUAUGGAAAGGGAUAAGAUGUGGAGGAUUUUUAUUCUUUCGCUGCCUCGUGUGUGGGACUUGUGAUCCGUUGACUCAAGGUCAAUGGUAUCUUCAAUCUUGUCUAAAACCCAUAUGGACUUUAUUUUACAUAAAUGGGCUGUCCAAUAAUCUUGGGCCUAGUUAUAAUCGUGAAAAUCACUUUUGAGUGUAAUUAGGUUACAUCUUAUUUGAUGUAUAGGUGCAAUACUAAAACGAGAAAAUGAAUUAGGAUGUUAAUUAUUUUAUUUGUUUUGUUUAUAAUUAGGCAAAAAAAAAUUAUAGGAUAAUCAAACUUUUAGAAAUGUUCAAAUGUUAUCAAUUGUAACUAAUAUUUAGUUUUGAUGAUUAGGAACUUUGUAAUAUAUCUUCUAAAACUAUAUAUUACUUUUAAAUUUAUUUUUACUAUAUUUUUCAAAUAUGGUUAUUAAUAAAUUCCAUUUUGUUAAAUCUUCUUAUAUAAGAAAUAGUUAUGAAUUUGAUAUGGAACAAAUAGCUACAAAAUUUGUUAUGGAAAAAUGAUUAUGAGAUUUGCUACCGAAAUAUAGCAAAUCUUCUCUAUCUUCUCUAUGAUUGUGCGACUCUCUUUUCUUCUCAAUUCGCACAAUGAUACAUGUUUCUAAUAUAGGUAUAUGUCAAAAUAAUAUGUUCGGAUAGAAAACUUAGCAAGUCAUACAAAGGUUAAACAUCAUAAAAUUAAUAUAAAAAGCAUCAUAAAUAUAUUAAACAUAUCACCAUUUUCCGUUGUCAACCAUAUAGAGAACAACAUUUAUACUUAUACAUCUUUAUAGAGAAAAAAAAUUCAUACCCCAUCCGUCCUAUAUUUAUAGUCAAUGUUUUCUUUUUGAUUUGUACCAAAAUAAUAGCUUAUUUCUAAAAAUAAAUAUUCAUUUUACCAAAAUACUCUUCGUUAUUAAUUAAACAGCAAGAAAAUUAAAUACGACUACCAUGAAAUUAAAUGCAAAAAAAGAUAAGACUAUCAUUUUAUUUAACAAAGUUGUUUGUCGAUUAAUGUUUUCUUAAUCUAUGUGUCUUUUUUUUUGCGGGCAAUAAUACGUCUGAGGUCUUAAAAAUUGACUAGGGACUGAACUAGUCGUACACUGGUCGGUCCCAACCUGGUCUAGACCGUCGGUCCUCAUGCAGUCCCAAUUUUCACUAAAAUGUCGGAGCCAGCACCUGAACAGUCUCGGGUCGAACCGCUCUUGGUUCCAGAUCGGUCUUAAACAUCGGAAAGUCAAUCAUGAGUUUUCACUAAAAUAUAAGCAAGAUUCUCUGUCUAUAUUCUUUUCAUGGUAUUAGAGCCAUGAAGAGCUUGUUGGUUUUUAGGAUUUUAGCCAAUAAGGAAAGCCCAAUCUGUUUGGCCCACAUAUAUAUAACUAUUUCCUUGAAAACAACACAUCCAUUAUGUUCCCGGGUUAAAUUCUAAUUGGAUAUUUGUGCAACAAUUAUUUGGCAAUUGCAACUGUUUUGUUCAUUUAACUCCUAACUUUUAUGCUAUAUUAGAUCGCAAUUCAAAGAAGCUGACUGGUGCAGCUGAAAGAAAAAAGGGGAUAUAACAAAUUCUCUCGAUCUUUGGCAUAAACCCUCUAAGCCAUCCCACAUGAAGAAAGUCUUAAUGAUAGAGAUACUAUGUUAACUACAAAUUGUGAAGUGUUUCACUGUGCUAAACAGUGUCAGAAAAAUUUGCAUUACCCAAACAGAUAUGAGAUCUAAUGGUAACCCAUAGGUCUCAGUUUAUACUUUUUCACUUUGUUUCUUUGCAGUGAUUGAAAGUGGGAAUAAAUAGUUGAUUCAACAUCUUUCUCAUAAUGUGAACAAUUGAAUAUCAGUUGAAAAUCUUUCAUAUCCGGUAGUUUAGUUCAAAAAACCCACUCAAACUGAGAGAUUCAUCUAAUAUUUGAAAAAUCAAAAUGAUUGAAAAUGAGAUCUGACACUCCUGUACCUAGCUGGAAACAGAGUCCUACACUCAUAAAAUUACGGGCGAUUUAUUAGGGCUGAUACUGAUCUCUAGUAUGAAGCAUAUAUCAUAAGAAAAUCACUACUUCAUAAACAUUAGUCAAUAAUCAAACCAGAGAAAAUAAAUGAAUAGGCGUUUUCAGCUUAUUUAACAUUUCAGUUGAUUUUAUCUGUAGAAGAUACACAGAAUGCACAAGGACCACAACGAGUAGCAAACUAAACUUGAUUCCAGAUAUCUAGUCAAGGAUCGAUAUAUUUGAAACAGGAAACAACAAAUUCAAGUAAUAGAUUGGUAUUCAUAGAGAAUCUUUUUUAACAAACUCGUACCUGGCUCUGUUCUAUGAGACUGUGCGUAUGCUUGCAAUGUUGCUGCUGGUGCUACUUUGCAAAAAUUCUAAUGGUGUAGAAGAAGACCACUGAUUGAACAGCUAUAUAUUACACUGCCUCAAUUAUUUGGGUGAGUGGGGGACAUAAUUUUCCAUUUGUGCUUAAAAGUUGGAUAUUGGAUAACCUUAUCCUAACACACGUAAAUGUAAUAAUUUUUUAUAUAUUGUAAUAAUCCUUCAAAUAUGUUAAUAUUUGGAAAUUAGUUGUCUGAUUUUAUAAAUCAGCACUAAAACUAUUUUUUCUUAACAUGAUAUGAUAUGGUAGGUAAUUGGGCUAGAAAUGGAUUAUUUUAAAAUUACAUAAAACUAAAAAAAAUUACAACUGAGAAAAUUAUCAUAAUAGUUUUUUUUUAAGGUUUUAUCACAAAAUAGCUACAAAACUGCAAAAUGGCCAAAACACGAAGAAAAAAAAAACUUCACAAGCCCACAUCUACAAAAAGAUGUUUAGCCUGCGAAUUUUUUUUUUUUUUUUUUAAUAUCAAAACAACGUCGUUGACUAUGAAAAUAUGAUUGUUGAUUGCGAAAAAUGAGUUAAAUUAUGAUUUUUUUUUACAAAAAAAAAUGCGAUGUUUUUUUCACAUUAACUACGACAUUCAAGCAAUGGCGGAUCCUUUAUAUGGCUAGGGGGGCCAUGGCCCCCUUAUGUUUUUUUACCUCCUUAAUACUAUAUUAUAUAUAAAUAAAAGUUUGGUUUUAUUUGUUGACUAAGGAUUUGGCCCCAGGUUAAUGAUAAACACAUGGCUGCACCAUUUUUAAAAGAAUUAGCUAGAUUAUUAUAAAGCUUUGCUAUUUUUAGUGUGAUCUAGGCCCAUAUUUAUUUAGAGAAAAAAAUGUAGUUUUUAGAAAAAUUAAGUUAGUGAAACGAUAUGCUAAUGUCAAUAAUAUAUGAUAUCUAAUUUUGUAAAGGUAAUUUUAGUAUAGUUAGAAUAAUUAGUUAUAUUUAAAUAUAAUUAUUAAAUUGUUAUUCUCUAUUAUUAUUUUGUUAAAGCAAAUCUGAUGUAGAUUGAACUACAGUAAUAGAUAAUUUGUCAAGUGUAUUGUCAAACACUUUUGUAAACUUGUAAUACUUUACGUGUAUCGAACGUGAGAUGCUCGAUUUUUGAAGAAGACAGUCUUUAUUAAUCAAAAAUAGAACAACCACAUUACAAAUAAAGGUGCAAAUAUUUAAAGACUCUUAAACGUAAACCUAAUAGAAGUCUAAGACUUUUGAAACAAGGAAACAAACAAAUAAAUAAGGAAAGAAAAAGACUCAACAUUAAAGAAACUAAUUAUCCAAUUACUUGGACUCUACCCUUUCUUUUCGUUGUUGUGGUCCAGAUGGACCAUAGCCACCUCAUCAAAAUCAUAUUACAUAGUCAACAUCAAAAUGAUAAAAAAAUCAACAAUCGUUUCGCCCCCUCCGGUUAAGGGAUCCGUGUUCCGCCCCUGCAUUCAAGGAAUGUACUGUGAAAAUCAAAAUCUUGCAAAACCUCGUAGGACGUUAUCUUAUAAGAGAUUGUUUUGUAAAAUAUUAUCAUAACCAAUUNAGUUGUUUAUUUUUUUUGCGAAUUUUUGUUUGGUGUUGUACUUGAUUGUAGGAAGAAAUAUAAUUACACAAAUGGACAAAUACGGAAACCUCAGGCGUGGAGGAUCAAGUCGGUUAUCAACAAAUAUGUGACAAACAUAUAAUAAUUUUAAUGUAUUUUCAUGAUUUUAUACAGGUUUUGAUGUAUGUGGUAUACCUCCAUGCCAUCUUGAAUAUUUUAUUUACACAGAGUGAAUGAGAGAUAUGGAUCAUAUAAAUUUGUUUCAUCUACCACUUCUUCCUUUUCCCAUAUAAAUUUUAUAAUUCAUAUAUAAGUCCAUGUCUUGGGAAUUCCUUUGUUUUUCAUUUGUUAUAUGGAAUGUGCAAUAGUUGAUUUUCUUAAUUCGUCAUAGUAUUGUAGGGCAACCUAAAACAUCUUAAUGUAAUACUCCCUCCGGCCCAAUUUAAAUGUCCAGGUUACUAUUUUAGGUUGUCCCAAAAUAAAUGUCCACUACUAAAAAUAGAUGAACAAUUUACCAAAUUACCCUUAUGAAUAGAUGAACAGGUUACUAUUUUAGUUAACCAACAUGUUUUUAUUAAUGUGUUAUAUGAAAAGUAAAUUAUGAAAAAAGGGGGUCAUCGAGAGAAUCUGGAAACAAGUAUGUACAAUUGAAAAGAUAAACAAAAUAACUCUACUCAACUAAAAAUCCAAUCCUAUGAAUUUAAUGUGUAGUGACAGUAAAUCAUAAUCACAGAAACAAAACAUCUCAUUCAUUUUCAUUUAAAAAAAAAUCAAAAUACAAAUGUUUCCUUCCAAAUUGGGUGAUGUGCAACAUAUUUUUAUUUUUUCAAAUACAAUAUAGCAUUGUCUAAUAAAUUUUGAUCACAUUCAAUUUGUAAUGGAAAAUUACCUUCUGGUUCUAACCAGCAUUUACCAACAUGUGGCACAUGAUAGUUGUUGCCACCUUGUACUUUUAUGAUUUCUUUCAUGCAUGUUUGUGGAAUUAAAAAAAACCUUGUUAAGUUGUUGUGAUGACAUUCUUUCAAAAGACGUUUGAUCCGCAUCAUCCAAUUCAUCAAUUGUAUGCAAAACCUCUUGUUCUUGAAGUGAUCGUCUUGCUCGAAAGAAUAACCAAGGUCUAACACAUUCUAAUUCGGGCUAUUAGGGGGCUGAAAACAAAGUCGAAUAUCAUAUCCAUGUCGAGAUGCCGCUUCAAGAAACUUGCUAUCGUUGACAUCAAUAUGAGGCUUUGUGUUAUCUUGUUGAAUAAAUAUUAGACCGAUAUGACCUUGCGGCCAUUUGGAUUUGAUAUCCCGUAGAACCUUUUCUAUCAACCAUGACCUUGUUACUUCUUUGUUCACCGAUAAAAUAGGUUUCGUAUCCAAUGUUCCCAUAAUACGGUUUUUUCUUGAACGCUUAGUAGGUUCUAAUGUUGUAAACGGGUAGAUACCAAUUUUUCCUGAAUAUACUUUGUUACCUAAUGAAUCAAAUCUUGGUCUUGCUACAGCUGCUAGAAACAUAGCUUUUGUGAUAAACUUUUUGGCUUUACAUGUUUGCAACGGUUUAUCCUCACCGGGGACAAGGUAGUGACGUUUUGGUGGUUUUGAUAUGUAAAACUACUUUUCAUCAAUAUGAAAAACAUUAAACAUAUCAUAGAAUGUAGAAAUCAGACUUAAUAAUGAUUGUGUAGUAAUCUUUGAUUAGCAAAAUUCUAACCUUUCUCUUCUAUUAUCAUGAGUUAGAGUCGAAUUGAUGGAAUUUGUAUGUGGUCGAAGUACACAUUCCUUGAUACGUCUAUGCAUCGUUGAUUUCGAGAUAUUUACAAAUUUCACAAGAGAUCGUAUAUUGGCUUGACGGCAUAAUGGAAUUUUUGAAACUUGAUUCAAGUUUAUUUGUACCCUUUUCCACCCAACAAAAUUUGGUUUAUUUGAAGAUAAAUCAACCAAUAAUCCUUCGACAUUAGCUUGAGUUCUUUCGAGAGUUGUUAUUGGUUCCACCACUACCAUUCCGCAUGAAGGGGGGUAUUAAGCACAUGUAAAGUCUAGAAGCUACGGUACAUACGAAAAGUAUAUGGUAUAGUUUUUACCCUUACUUGUACUUACUUCUUGAGAGUUGUAAGUGUAAAUGUUUUAAGUAUCUAUAGACAUCCUGUAACAUUCGAAUCCAGGUAUUUCCUUUUUUAAGUCCCUAUUAUAAAUCAAAUUGGAAAAGAAGGCCCUUUGUAUGUUGGGCAUAUGUAUAUGUACGCUUAGCAUACAUGGGCGUAUUGAUCGAGUAGCGGAGCCACAUACGCAGUGCGUACGAAGCAUACACGGGGCGUACGUGGCUAAAAGGCAAAAACCCUAAUUUACGGACAUGAGCCCUAUUUAAGCUCACUUAUGACCUUUGUACCUCACUCUUAUCAGCCUUCACUCCUUUAAACGUCCCUAAAAACCCUAUUUUCCCAUUAGGAGUGAUCUUUAAGCAUUGGGGUAACUUUGGUGGCCUUUUUAUUGUGUUUGCAAGAAGAAUAAGUUGGUGUUCAUGCUUUGGGCAUGGGUGAUCUUCAAGAUCCUAAAUCUACAUCAUCUUGGGGAGCUUUUGAAGGUAAAAAGCCCUUACCUUGUUGAUCCUUUACAUAGGUAGAGUAAGUAUUUGCUUAUAAGUUCAAUUUUAUCCAUGGAUUCCCUUUUGUGAGUUAAUUUGGGCAACUCCAGAAGCUUGAAAUGCUAGAUCGUAGUUCCUUUGGUGUGUUAAAGGCAUAAAAUGCUAUCUUGGUGGUCAUUGUGACACCAUGCAUGGAAGUAGGUUCUUAAAUUGGGUCUUAAUGGACAAAAUUGGAUGUUGGACUCCCAUAAGACAUGCAAAGGCAUAAAGUUGCCAAAUUUAUGCCCUAGAACCCCUUAAAUGAUGAAGAAGUGUGUGUGUUUGUGUGUGUGUGGAGAGAGAGAGAGAGAGACAGAAAGAGGAGGGGGAGAGAGAGAGAGAGAGAGAUGUGAGGAGUAUUGAGAUAGACGAUUUCAUAAUAUAAAUUAGUUAAUAUAAUAAUUUGGAUAUUAUAUUUUUAAUGACUAAUAUGCCCUUGUGAUCAUUUCUAAAAAGUCUAAGAUACCAUUUAAAUUGUUGAUAGAUACAGAUCUUCCAUCUUUCAUCUAGACCAUGAAAAUUUUUGAUCUAACGUUCCACUUUUAGUUCUUGGGAAACUAUAGGUUCUCAAAUGAUCCUCUCUCUCUCUCUCUCUCUCUCUCUAUAUAUAUAUAUAUAUGUUCCUAUUUAUUUUUUAAUACUUAUUAAAUAUUGAAAAAAGGAAUAAUGGUAUUAUAGUCUUUUCAAAUUGGAAAGAUACCUUUUCCACACACAAACAUGGUAAAAAGGACCAGCAAUCUUGUAACAUUCGAACCUUGUAAGUUUCCAUUUUAAACCUUCCUAAACAAAACAUUUCAAUUUGGUCCUUUUGGCUAGUAUGCGGGGCGUACUCUAUGAGUACGCUCGGCGUACUAGGCUGAAGUCUGAUCCCGGGCAUCGACCACAUACAUUGGGCAUGUGUGGAUUACAUUGGGAGUACGUUGGCUAGGGGAAAACCCUAAUUUUUAGGGGUUUUGACUUAUUUAAGCGUCAUUAACCCACCUCUUAGAUAUGUCUUACCAGCCUCCAUAUCCUCAAACCCCAACUUCGUCCCUUAGCCUUUGUGUGGUGCCUUUGAGCUCUUAUGAAGCAUUUUUUGUGUGUUUUCGCAUCCUGAAGAGGACGGAGAAGAUUGAAGACUCAUCCUUUGGAGAAGAUUUUUGAGAUCCAAAUUUAGCUUCUUCAUUUUGUGGCUUUAGAGGUAUAAUGUCCAUAACUUGUCAAUUCAUUUCAUAAAUCUACUAUUUGGCUUGUUUAUGGUCAUUUUGGUCCCUUUUGGUUGGUCCUUGUGAGGUAAGGCCUUUUCUGGAAUUUAACGUUGUAGAUCUGGACAUAUUAGGGGUUCCUUAACCAUAAAGAUGCAAUCUUUAUGGUUUUAUGGACUCAUGCAUGUGUUAAGUCAUUUGUUAAGCUAUUUUGAGCUCUAGAGCCCCCAUUAAGCCAUGUAUACACGUAAUGUUGCCAACUUUACAUGAUAAAUCAUCUUUUAGGACUAGAUAUGAGAGUAUGGAGUAGGGGCUAAAUGGAUUAAGUGCUUAUUUGAUGGGGUUGACCAACUGGUGAGUACGUUGGGUGUACCAAGCUAGUACGUUACACGUACUUUCCCAAGGACGUAUACGUUGAGCGUACGAGCUAAGUACAUCUCAUGUACUUAGCAGAUGGGCUUCGGAAGUUUGGGUUUCUCAUCUUUGGGCCAUGUUUGGACUUUAGGUGAAUAAGGCCUUGUUAGGCCAUCAAUUUUUAUUUUGGGCUGAUGCUUUUAUUUUGGGUUCACUAGGAUGAAGGUCCACGAAGGGACUUGGGCCUAAUUUGGAAAAUUGAGCCAUAAUCAGGCUCUUGUGAUUGUGAUUUGGAUGGGUUCCUUUUGUAUGGGGGUUAAGCAAGUAUAAGGUUUCAUAAUUUUAGUGGUGGUAUGUCGGUUCGGUAGUUAAAGGAAGCAGUGUAUUGUUCAGCCCUGGAAGGUUCAUCUCUUUGUUCAUCUCGCGUUGCUCAUUAUGUUCAUGGAAUUGUUAUCAUUAUGAUGAGUCUCUCUCGAAGGAAUAUCUAAUCACUUUAGUCAAAUGAAAGGUUGUCGAUGUCAACAUAUGAUCUAUGAUUUUGUUUUCUAGCGGGAACCUCAAGUAAUCAGAAAUUGAGUACUCAGUUUGGGAGAUAAGUGGAAUGGAAUUAGAAACAGUUCAGUGCAGGCGGUCUGUUAGGGAGUCAGACCAAUUCGAGACUUCAGAUUUCAGGUUGAGUAGAUGUGGCUUUUCUACAUGGGAUUGUUUUAGGAUGGGAUUAUAUGGAAUGAUUUCAAGGAUGAAACCUAAUUUAAGUAGGGGGGAGUUUUAACGCCCUGUCCCCAGUCGUUUACCAUGUGGGUGUGGGGGACAAAAUUUAGAUGAUCCGGGUGUUCAGUUUGUGUUUUGGAGCCAAGGGGUAUUUUGGUAAAGUGUCAGAUCAAGAUUUUAUGGAAAUUGGAUUUUGUUCGGGAAAUAUUAAGCCGCGUAUGAGUUGAUAAAAGCGUAAAGCUUCUCUUUACCUUUUUAUGGAUAUGAGGAUCGUCGAAAUCGGAUUUAUAACAAAGAAGUUAUGGCCUUCAAAGUAUUUUAGGGUUUAAGGGAUACCCUAGUACGCGGGGCAUACAUAGGGAGUACAUGGGGCAUACUAGUGCAAAGUGAAGUACGUUGGGCAUACACUGGUGUAUGAUAAGCGUACCAAGGAGGAAUGAUCAUGAAGCCUUGGCCUCUUACAUUGGGCGUACAAAGGAGUACGCUGGGCAUACGAGGAGUACAUGGAACCCUAAUUUUGAGUGUGUUGUACGCUAUUUAAGUACCUUAAGUCUUAGGGUUGGCCUCUUUACCAGCCCCCAAACCUCCUAAAACCCUUAAUCGACCCUUAAAUAUUCUUUCUGCUGUUCUUGAGCUCUUGAGAAUAUUUUGUUGGUCAUUUUUCCCAUUGUGACGGAAGUAAAGAAGAUUGAAUAUGCUUUUCUUGGUGAGGAGCCUAUAGAUCCAGAAUCAUCACCCUUUUUGCAAGCCUUUAGAGGUAUCAAGUUCAUACCUUCGCUUGUAAAUGCUUAGAUCUCUUUUUAAUUGAUUGGUUAUGUUUUUGAUCCUUUUUUGGGUUGUUUAUUGAGUUAAGACAUUUGAAGGACUUAUUCCUUUAGAUCUGAGCUUAUUGGGAGUUCCUUAAGCAUAAAGGUGCCAACUUUAUGGGGUAUUGGGUCUCAUGCAUGCAUUAAGUCACAUAUUAAGUCCUUUUUAAGCUUAAGAGCUUCAUUUAUCCAUGCAUGAAUGUAAAGUUAGUAACUUUACGUGAUAAAUCAAUCCAAGGAAGUCAGAUCUAGGUUGUGGAGCCGAUUCUUUAUGUAAUAAGAGCUUAAUAUGGAAGUUGGUUAUACACGAGGGUACGUUAGGCGUACAAGAAGGUACGCUUAGUGAUAUUGUCAUAUUUAUACACAUUUUAGGCAAUAACUGAAUACAAUUUUAUACAUAUUUUGGUUAUUUGCAAAGAUAAAUGGUACUUAUAAGAUCGAAUUGUAUUUUGCAGCCAAAAGGAACAUUCUUGAAGGAAAAGGACCAAAAGCGACAAGAUUGGAACUUUGGGGGAUUGGAGCUUAAAAGAUGAAUAUUUCAGAUAAAAGUCAACCUCACGAUGUGAGGAAUUAACUCUCACGACAUCAGUCAUAACAUUUUAGAAGAUAAACAUUUAGAGGACAUAAUACAUGUUCGAUACGGAUUACAACUGAGCUCACGGCGUGAGCUUCUAUAUCUCACAACGUGAGCAGGGUAAUUACCAAAAUCUAUAUAUAUCCUUGGCACUUACAAAUGAAGGACUUCUUCUGGAGAUUUGGAGGUUUUAGAGAGAGAAUUCUGGAGAAAAUAAGCCAGAGGAUUCAAGUGUUAAGCAUCCAAGGAAGAAGAAUUGAUUGAAGAUCAUAAUCUUUACUUAGUUUGGUACAUUCAACUAUGUUUUUAUUUAUUGAAUUUAUGUGGGUGAUUUCAACCAUGAGUAGCUGAAUUUAGCUGCUUCUAUUUAGCUAAAUGAAGCCUCAACUUAUGGAUUAGCUAAAUUGAAUUAUGGAUUUUUAGUAGUUGGUUAUGUUCUUGUGUUAGAUUGUGAAUACCUAGCAUGCUAAUAUUUGAUGCUUUAUUUGCUUGAAUUCAUGUUCUGUGUAGCUUAGUAACUAUUAAAUUACAUGAACUUGACACCUAGUAAUUUAGUGAGCAUUGAAUUACUAGAGCUAGGAUCGAACCAAUCUUAGAUAAGUAAUUAAAGUAACUGAAUUUAGCUGUGUUGGAGAACAUGAAUUAUGACCAAAAUUGUCUUUAAUAAAUAAAUCUUACAUAGCCUCAUUCAUAAUGCAUAGUUGAUUUUGUGUUUGAUUGUGUGUGACCACACAUAGUUUUACAUGAAUUAGUUAAAUAUUAGUAAAUUUGGACUUAAAUUACUAAUAAUACAAAAUUUGGUAACCAACUAUAAUAAUCCAUAAUUGUUAGCUAACCAUAAAGGAGAAGUGGAUUUGAACUAAACGGAAGUGUUUUAAAUAUUUGAUUAAAUAGUUAUUGAGUGAUAAAGUUUGUCUGAGCAAAAUCAGAUAAAAAACAACUUUUGCUUAGAAAUUUAGGUCAGUUUAGUAGUAAUUAGGUUAAUUAAUUAUAUAUGUUCCCUGUGUUCGAUAUCCGAUUGUUUGUGUUAAACUAUAUGUGAAAAUGUCCACUGCCUUUAGUCGAAUAACUAGUUAGAUAGUUGGUAUUUGGUAAAAUUAGGUGUAGUAAUAUUUUGACAUCACUUAGUGUAUAAGCCCUAAGGCAAGUACAUUGCGCGUACUCAAGAGUAGGCCUCAGAACUUUUGGUCUAUGUUUGGGCCAUAGUUUGGGCUUAGAUGUUCAGGGCCUUGUUGGGCCAUCAAAACUUAAGUGUUUUGGACUAAGAAUGUUGUUGAACCUUGGAUUAAAGCUUAUGGAAGGGUUUGGUCCCAAUUUCGAAAAUUAGGCCAUGUUUAGGCCUUGUAUGAUUAUUUGGUAUUUGGGCGUUUUAGAUUAUUAGGUUUGGGAUUAAGUCUUGGUCCAAACUAGGUACGGGGUAAAUUGGUCAUUUACCCUAAUUAUGGUCUGAUGGUUAUGGAUUGGAAUCCAAUUGUUAAUUCAAUGUUAUUUGAUAUUGAUAGUUCGGGGAUUUGUCGUACCAUUAGCCAGGAAGUUAUCGGUGUGGUUCAGUAGUGUGAGGUGAGUCUUCUCACCAUAUCCAUGGGUCGAAGGCACUAAUGUCGACCCAUUAGUUGUAUGGUAGACCCCGGGGUAGCCCAUGGAUAGUUAUGAGAGAGAGAGAGAGAGCGAGACAAUGUGGUGGGUUGCGGUGGGUGUGGGCCCUUUUCUUAUUUUUAAAUAACCAAAAUAACUAAUAAAUGGAAAAACUAAAUCAAAUAGGUAAGAAGUCUUUUCAAGUUUAUGACCAAAUCGACAAUGAAAGUAAGCCUGUUUGUACAGUACCAAAAGAAAAUGAAAAAUCCUUUUUUGCAAUUAUCUAUAAAGAUAAUAACGAAAGGUACGUAGUUUUGGCAUUUUAUAUAUUUACCUUCCAAUUCCUUUUAUAAAUUUGCAAACCAACACAAUUUUUUCUUCUCUUAUUCUCAUCCCAUUACUUGUCAACCAAACACAUGUAAACUUAAAAUUCCUUCAUAUUCUAAUCGUGAUCAAAAUUCCUUUCUAAACAUUUCGCAAACCAAAUGUGCCCUUAGAAGUCACGAUCAAUUCACAUUUUGACAAGGGGAGCAAUAUUCAUCUGAAUUGAAGCCAAAAGAAGUUUGUUAAAGGGUGUUUGUAUAUCCAUUGAAAAUGACUAGUCGACUUGACAUAAAUAACCAUUUUUAAGAGUUCAACAAUAACUCAUUUUGAUUAUAAGAACCAAAUCGUGGAUGUAGGUAACGAAUUGCAUUAAACUAAUUAUUGAGAUUAAAGUAAAUUACAUUACUAACUCCCCAAAAAAUCUCAAGCAAAUUAUACAAAUUGAAGGCCCCAAAAAUCAAGGUAAGCUACUUGCUAGUAGCCUAGCUGCAAACUUAUUUCUAGAUUAAGUGUACUUGUAACAUCCCAAACUACCUUCCACAUCUAUCCGUACUUUCCUCAAGAACUGCCUCGACUCCACCAAGUCCCUUCUACUACUACUGUUGAUCUCAUGCUAAUCUCAUCCUAGGCUUGCCCUAGGUAAUCGCCAUCCCACUCUCUACCAUCAGCUGUACAAGAAGUUCCUGCUUUCUUCCCCUAACUAGCUCGCGGAUACUAUUACAUAUUACUCAAACUAGAUAAUUCUUCAAAUGAGAGGUCAUACCCUACAACGGUUGGACUCAGACAAGAGCUGCGAAAUUGGGCUAGACCAACCUUCUGGAAUUAUUUAGUCCUUGCAAUAUCUAACUUAGCAUAUUCGUUUACUAGUUAGUGAAAGACAACUAGAACUCCUAAAAGCACAUAGCAAGCAACAUUCGGGCAUUGAGUACACAUAAUCAAGUAUAUACUACUCUGGCUAUCAUACUGACUGAUCUGUACUAGCAUACAAUGCUAAUCUCAUACUAUCAGGCAUAACUUAAACAUGUUAUCCCACUACUGUCUACUCAAUACUAGCAUGCAAUUCUUAUAAAUCUGAAGCACAUAAAGUAGGCACAUAAGGCAUCAUUCCUAGAUCCUUAGUCCUAUUCUAGCAUGCUGUUCUACUGAAACUGAAACUAAUAAUCAUAACAUAACUUGUAUGGGUACUUUGGGGAAAACUUACUUGAGCUCGGCUGGUCGCGCGCAUCACACAUUUUCUCAAAACUCUUUUACUUAUCCUUUAGAAAUUCAUUUCUUUAUAAAAAUCUUUUAAUCCCUCGAUUUGAGUCCAGACAUCCCCCCGAAGGUGUGUCCGAAUCCCUCAAACCAGGGCUCUGAUACCAACUUGUAACAUCCCAAAAAUACAGGCCAAAAAUUUCAUUUUUAAAUCAAUGCUUUGGAAAAACAUUUGUGAAUAAACAUCGCCUGAUCAUAUCAUUUCAUAAACAUAUUUCAUGUCUGAAAUCCAACAUAUAAAAACAACCAUAAUGUCAGAGUACAAAAUCCCAGAAUAACUCAUGAUGCGGAAAACAAUGUGUGUGUAAGAUGUGCCGCUACCGCACCAGCUCCUUCCCCUUCGAUGAAGAGGUACCUGAAAAUAAAACUGUAAACUGUAAGCACAAAGCUUAGUGAGUUCCCCCAUCGUCCACAUACCAUACAAUAAUAUAGCAUACAUUUUGCCAGGCAUUUCUGGGGUGCCCAACCUACCCGGUACGGCCAUUCUGGGGUGCCGACCUACCCGUACGGCCAUUCUGGGGUGCCGAUAUACCCAUGCGGCCAUUCUNNNNNNNNNNNNNNNNNNNNNNNNNNNNNNNNNNNNNNNNNNNNNNNNNNNNNNNNNNNNNNNNNNNNNNNNNNNNNNNNNNNNNNNNNNNNNNNNNNNNNNNNNNNNNNNNNNNNNNNNNNNNNNNNNNNNNNNNNNNNNNNNNNNNNNNNNNNNNNNNNNNNNNNNNNNNNNNNNNNNNNNNNNNNNNNNNNNNNNNNNNNNNNNNNNNNNNNNNNNNNNNNNNNNNNNNNNNNNNNNNNNNNNNNNNNNNNNNNNNNNNNNNNNNNNNNNNNNNNNNNNNNNNNNNNNNNNNNNNNNNNNNNNNNNNNNNNNNNNNNNNNNNNNNNNNNNNNNNNNNNNNNNNNNNNNNNNNNNNNNNNNNNNNNNNNNNNNNNNNNNNNNNNNNNNNNNNNNNNNNNNNNNNNNNNNNNNNNNNNNNNNNNCAUACAACUCCUACUGGUGGGCCGGCAUUGUGGCCGUAGACCCACCGCUACUGGAAGGUAACUCACCUCGUAGUAACUGCUGAUCUGUGCGGGAACUCUCUGUCUGCUGCUGCUGCUGCUCCGGAAAUCCUCCGUCUAUAAAUCCCACAAAACACCCUAUCAGAGUCUGAUAUCUACUCUUUGGGUAAAAUGACCAUUUUACCCCUGAUCAAGUCAAGUCAAAGUCAAAGUCAACUUUCAGUUGACCUGACUCGCCGAGUUGGGCCUCCAACUCGUCGAGUCCCUAACCAAUCGAUUGUCCUUACUCCCGUCCCUACUCGUCGAGUAUGGCAUUGACUCGACGAGUUCUCCUUCUAUUCAAAUGUCCAAUGAUCCUUCAUCCGACUCGCCGAGUUGUAUGAACAACUCGUCGAGUUCAUCUUAUCCGAUGAACACUCUAGUCUGGACUCGCCGAGUUGUAUGAACAACUCGUCGAGUCUGUUCUUGAGGCAAGAAGAUUGCAUUGGACUUGCCGAGUCAGGGCAUUGACUCGCUGAGAACCUGCAUUGCUGAGUCUGGCUUCCGAUUCACUGAGUCCACUUAUAACUCACUGAUCCCACUCGGCAUAACUCAAAAGGGGAAAAUCGGGGACUCGUGACUCGACUCGCCGAGUCCGAAGAACGACUUGCCGAGUCGUAUACAUGUAAUCACUAUAUACUCGAUUCUGCUUGAAUCCAGUUCAUUCCAUUCAUAGAUCUAGGUUCUUAGGGUUCGUUUAACACGUAAAGUUUCGCACUUUACGUGUAUAUAAGCAUCAAUGAAGGUUAAAAGGCUCAAAAUGCACUAAAAGAGUAGAUCUAGGGCUUUUCAUGCAAUAUGGCUCCAUAAAGGUAUUAGAUCUGAGCUCCUAGAGCUCAAUCAUGCCUAGAUUUGAAGUCCCUUAACAUUAUAAGCUUAUUACACAAAGAUCAAGACUCAAAGAGGCCUCAAAGUGACUAUUUUAAGCUCUUAAUGAGAUAAUAAUGAAGGAACAGAAAGGGUUUUCGAGUUAUACCUCACUUAACUCUGAAAUGGACUCAAAGCCUUUGCUCUUCUCCUUCUUCUUUAGUCCUUCCUUCCUUCUCUUCUACAAAGCUUCAAGAAAAUCACACAAAAGCACUCAAAUCACCAAAGGAAGGGUUAGGGUUUCGUGAGGGACACUCUGGUUGUGAAUGGGGGCCGACAUGGGGCACAUAAGGAUGUUUAAAUAGAGUGCAAACCCUUGAAAUUAUGGUUUCAUCCAGACUGGAGGAGUCGCCGAGUCCAGAAUAUGAACUCGUCGAGUCGCCAACUUAAACGUGCUCAAUAUCCCGUCUCUACUCCGCGAGUCGGGCCUACAACUCGUCCGGUCCAAGGCUAAAAAUGCAAAAUACUUAGAUCAAUCUUAUGUACCAGGAACCAGGUGCUACAAAUCUCCCCCACUUAUUUUAGACUUCGUCCUCGAAGUCUGCCUCUCGCUCCGGGAAAAGCUCGGGAUAGUGUUCCUUCAUCUCUUCUACCUGCUCCCAAGUCCACUCUGAACCCUUCCGGUGCUGCCAUUGCACCUUUACUAGCUCCACCUUCUUGUUCCUUAGAUUCUUCGUCUUCCGAUCGAGGAUCGCUACUGGUCGCUCAAUGUAGUUCAGGCUGUCAUCAACCUGAAUAUCCUUCAUCUUCCGAUCGAGGAUCNNNNNNNNNUCCACUAGGCACUUCCGCAGCUGGGAGACGUGGAAGGUGAUGUGGAUCUGACUAAGUUCGGCUGGCAGAUCCAGCUUGUACGCUACCUUGCCCAACUUUCCCCGUUUCCUAAAUCGGAUGUCACCCUUCCAUGGCGACACCUUCAGGAGAACCAUAUCCCCGACCUGGAACUCCAGGUCUGAUCGGCGCUUGUCGGCAUAACUUUUCUGUCGACUCUGUGCAGUCUGAAGCCUGCUCCGAAUCUGCUGAAUCCUCUCGGUCGUCUUGAGCACCACUUCGGUGCUCCCCAUGACCCUCUGGCCUACCUCACCCCAACAUAUCGGGGUCCUGCACCUCCUCCCGUACAACAUCUCGAAGGGAGGACGGUCAAUACUCGCGUGGUAGCUAUUGUUGUAUGAAAACUCAGCUAGAGGAAGAUAGGUAUCCCAGCUACCACCGAAGUCUAGCACGCACGCCCGCAACAUAUCCUCCAAAGUCUGGAUGGUCCGCUCACUAUAACCAUCGGUCUGCGGGUGAAAAGCGGUGCUAAAAUGCAGACGAGUACCCAGCUCUUCAUGGAACUUCUUCCAAAUCCUAGAAGUAAACCGUACAUCUCUGUCUGAAAUCACGGAGACUGGCACUCCGUUCCGCGCCACCACCUCUCCGAUCUAGAUAUCGGCUAACUUCUCUGCCAAGAUACUCUCCUGGAUCGGGAUGAAGUGGGCGCUCUUGGUCAACCGAUCCACGAUGACCCAUAUAAAAUCCACUCCCCGUGUGGUCCUUGGAAGCUUGGUGAUAAAAUCCAUCGUGAUGUCUUCCCAUUUCCACAGUGGGAUAUCCAACGGCUGCAUCUUGCCGUGUGGACGCUGGUGCUCGAACUUGACCUUCCUGCAGGUCAAGCACCGCUCAACGUACCAUGCUACAUCCCGCUUCAUGCAGGGCCACAAAUAGUCCAGACGAAGAUCCCUAUACAUCUUCAUUGCCCCUGGAUGAAUGGAAAAUCGGGAUUUGUGCGCCUCCUCCAUCAGAACCUGGCGCACGCCUCCGAGGUAUGGAACCCACACCCUGCGGUGUAAUGUCAAUAAUCCUCUGUUGUCAUAGUCGAAGGAGGAAACCUGACCCACUAUACGCUCACUCUUCCGAUGUUCCUCCUUCAUGGCCUCCUGAAUCCGCUACAAAAGUGGAGUCACCACUUUCAUCCGCAUGCAGAUACCUCUGAUCAGCACCGCCUUGCGGCUAAGCGCAUCAGCCACCACGUUACCUUCCCCGGAUGGUAGAGGAUCUUGCAAUCAUAAUCCUUUACCACAUCAAGCCACGGACGCUACCUCAUGUUCAGAUUUGGCUGGUCCAUGAGAUACCUCAAACUCUUAUGGUCCGUAUCGUACAACGGACCCCAUAGAGGUAAUGACGCCAAAUCUUGAGGGCGAAUACAACAUCCCCCAACUCCAAAUCAUGCAUCGGGUAGUUCGCCUCGUGAGGCUUUAGCUGCCUCGACGCGUAGGCGAUGACAUGCCCUCUCUGCAUCAAUACUGCGCCCAAACCUGAGAUGGAUGCAUCGUAGUACACAACAAAAUCCUCCAUGCCCUCUGGCAGGGCUAAGAUUGGUGCCUCGCACAAUCUCUGUCUCAGAAUCUCGAACGCUGCCUGCUGCUCAGGCCCCCAACGAAAUACCACGACCUUCCUCGUUAGCCUGGUCAUGGGUAAUGCUAUCUUGGAGAAAUCCUGGAUGAGUCUCCGAUAGUAGCCAGCUAAUCCCAGGAAACUCUGAAUCUUAGAUGGAGACUUCGGAACCUCCCAUCUCAUCACGGCCUCUACCUUGGCCGGGUCUACCGAAAUCCCGUUCUGUUUGACAAGGUUCCCAAGAAACUACACCUCGCGCAACCAGAACUCACACUUGGAGAACUUGACAUACAAGUUCUCCCUCCUCAAAGUCUCUAGAACCUCUCACAGAUGCUCCUCGUGCUCCUCCUGUGUCUUGGAAUAAACCAAGAUAUCAUCAAUAAACACUAUUACAGACCGAUCUAACAUCGGUCUGCACACGCGGUUCAUGAGAUCCAUGAACGCGACAGGAGCAUUGGUGAGCCCGAAAGGCAUCACCACGAACUCAUAGUGGCCAUAACGCGUCCAAAACGCCGUCUUCUGUACAUCCUCCUCUAUGACCCUCAUCUGAUGAUACCCUGAACGCAAAUCAAUCUUGGAGAACCAAGAUGCUCCCUGUAGCUGGUCAAAGAGGUCGUCAAUCCUCGGGAGUGGGUAACGGUUCUUCUCCGUUACCUUAUUCAGCUCCCUAUAGUCUAUACACAUACGAUGCGACCCGUCCUUCUUCUUCACAAAAAGAAUCGGGGCUCCCCAAGGCGAAUUACUCGGCCUGAUAAAUCCCUUGUCUAGCAGCUCCUUCAGCUGCGUAGACAACUCCUGCAUCUCGGGAGGAGCCAACCGAUAUGGUGCCUUGGCUAUCGGAGCCUCACCAGGGACCAGGUCGAUCCUGAAGUCCACCUGUCGCUCCGGAGGUAUCCCUGGCAACUCCUCGGGGAAUACAUCCGCAAACUCUCGUACCACGGGCACAUCGCCCACCGUCGCCCUACCCGUCUCCCGGGUACCCAUAAUAUACGUGACAUAUCAUGUGCAACCCUGCUGAAGGUAAUGCCUAGCUCUCGUUGUUGAACACAAAGAUGGUCCUUGCUGUGGCCUCUCGCCCUGAAUCACUAACUCUCCCCCACCUGGGGUCCUGACUCGCACUAGCUGUUGUGCGCAAUCUAUCACUGCCCCAUUAGGGCUGAGCCAAUCCAUGCCUAUAAUCACCUUGUUCCCACGUAAUGGAAUGGGAACCACGUCUACCAAGUAGCGCUCCUCAAAUAACCUCAGCACACAGUCUCGGAAGACCUCAGAUGCUCGCACUGACCGAUCAUCUGCAAUCUCGACCUCUAGAGGGCAAUCCAACAUGCCCGAAGACUCAAAAAACUUCUUGCUAAGCGCAAGAGAAAAAAAUGAUCAGGUAGCACCCGAAUCAAACAAUACAUGAACUGGGAUACCGUUCACAUGGAGUGAUCCUAAACAGAGAACAUAUCAAUAUCAUAAAUAAAUCAGAGGGAAAGAAUCGUACCCGUCACCACAUCGGGUGCGGUGCGUGCCUCCUCGGUCGUCAACUGAAAAUCCCGACUCCUCACCACUGGAGCCUCUGCCUUGCCCUACCUGUCAUCUGUAAUCCGCAGGGUCGUUGGGGCUGGCGCCUUCACUGGCGCUGCUGCUGUCAACUGGGGGCAAUUAGCCUUCUUGUGGCCCCUCUGGUUUCAGUGGAAACACAUCAACUCUGACGUCUGUAACACAGGUGCAAGGGCGGUACAAUCCCUGCUGAAGUGCCCUGUCUUGCCGCAUUUAUAGCAGCCCUACGAUCCCAACCUACAUGCCCCCUGAUGUGGCCUGCCGCAUUUCCUGCAGCGGCCUGAUCCUGUCUGGCCUUUCGGCCUACCAUCUGAUCCCUUGGGCUUCUUCCCCGAAACCCCUAUCGUCUGUCCCUCCUCUGUCUUCCUAUUCUGGAUGUGCUCCGGAUCUAUCUCCCUCUCCCUCGCCCUGGAAAUCAUAGAAUCCAGGGUAGGGCAAGCUGAAAAACUGACAUGCUCCCGAAUGUCGGCUUGCAGCUUGUCGUGGUAGCGGGUCCUCCUCAUAUCCUCGUCACCCGCAUACUGGGGCACCAAUAACGCCCUCUCCCAGAACUUGGUGGUGAUCUCCGCCACUGUCUCCGUCAUCUGUCUCAUGUCCAAAAACUCUCUGGCUAACUACUGGAGCUCCACCGCAGGUGCGAACUCCGCUCUGAACCGGGUCACAAAGUCCGGCCAUGUCAUAGCCUCAACAGCCGAGGCUCCCAAUGAGUCACCAACAGACUCCCACCAGUCUCUAGCUCUGUCUCUCAAACACCCUGCUGCAUAUCUCACCUUCGACCCCUCGGGGCAGAAGCUGAUCAACUGCGCAGACUCAAUGUCUGCGAUCCAUCAUCUGGCCACAAUGGGGUCCUUCGCACCAUGGAAAUCCGUCGCAACACUGCUCCUGAAGUCCUUGAAGGACAGUGUGCGAGAUCUUGACUGGCCAGAUGCCAUGUCACUCCUGAACGCCCUGAGGCGGUCCUCCAUCAGCUCCACUAUCCCUUCCUUGAUCGACCCGAAAAUGAUUGGUGUCGACUCAAGGAUGCCUCUGGUGAUCUCUGACGCGAUGAACUCGCGUAGCCUCUCAACCACUGGUUCGGAACCUGAACCCGAACCCGAUCUCUCUCCCAAACUACCAACUGCUGGCCUCGAACGUAGUACCACCAUUCUGCAAUACAUAACGACAACUGUCAGUGGUACUGAUACAUCUAGAGGGAUCACAUCUACUGCAAGGUUCCUGGUCUCGCCUCAGCCUUCCUCAAUUAAAGUACGGAUCCUCUGCUUCCAGUGGUACGUGCCCAUACUACCUUCCACAAUUAUCCGUACUUUCCUCAAGAACUGCCUCGACUCCACCAAGUCCCUUCUACUACUACUGCUGAUCUCAUGCUAAUCUCAUCCUAGGCUUGCCCUAGGUAAUCGCCAUCCCACUCUCUGCCAUCAGCUGCACAAGAAGUUCCUGCUUUCUUCCCCUAACUAGCUCGCGGAUACUAUUACAUAUUACUCAGACUAGAUAAUUCUUCGGAUGAGAGGUCCUACUCUACAACGGUUGGACUCAGACAAGAGCUGCGAAAUUGGGCUAGACCCAACCUUCUGGAAUUAUUUAGUCCUUGCAAUAUGUAACUUAGCAUAUUCGUUUACUAGUUAGUGAAAGACAACUAGAACUCCUAAAAGCACAUAGCAAGCAACAUUCGGGCAUUGAGUACACAUAAUCAAGUAUAUACUACUCUGGCUAUCGUACUGACUAUCUGUACUAGCAUACAAUGCUAAUCUCAUACUAUCAGGCAUAACCUAAACAUGCUAUCCCACUACUGUCUACUCAAUACUAGCAUGCAAUUCUUAUAAAUCUAAAGCACAUAAAGUAGGCAUAUAAGGCAUCAUUCCUAGAUCCUUAGUCCUAUUCUAGCAUGCUGUUCUACUGAAACUGAAACUGAUAAUCAUAACAUAACUUGUAUGGGUACUUUGGGGAAAACUUACUUGAGCUCGGCUGGUCGCGCGCAUCACACACUUCGUUUUUUCUCAAAACUCUUUUACUUAUCCUUUAGAAAUUCAUUUAUUUAUAAAAAUCUUUUAAUCCCUCGAUUUGAGUCCAGACAUCCCCCCGAAGGUGUGUCCGAAUCCCUCAAACCAGGGAUCUGAUACCAACUUGUAACAUCCCAAAAAUACAGGCCAAAAAUUUCAUUUUUAAAUCAAUGCUUUGGAAAAACAUUUGUGAAUAAACAUCGCCUGAUCAUAUAAUUUCAUAAACAUAUUUCAUGUCUGAAAUCCAACAUAUAAAAACAACCAUAAUGUCAGAGUACAAAAUCCCAGAAUAACUCAUGAUGCGGAAAACAAUGUGUGUGUAAGAUGUGUCGCUACCGCGCCAACUCUUUCCCCUUCGAUGAAGAGGUACCUGAAAAUAAAACUAUAAACUGUAAGCACAAAGCUUAGUGAGUUCCCCCAUCAUCCACAUACCAUACAAUCAUAUAGCAUACAUUCUGCCAGGCAUUUCUGGGGUGCCCAACCUACCCGGUACGGCCAUUCUGGGGUGCCGACCUACCCGUACGGCCAUUCUGGGGUGCCGAUCUACCCAUGCGGCCAUUCUGGGGUGUCGUCCUACCCGUGUCAAGCCAUUCUGGGGUGCUGAUUUACCCAUGUCGAGCCAUUCUGGGGUGUUGACUACCCUUCGGUUCUAACAACCGAACCUCAGGGACUAUUUCACCCUUACUACUACUAUCACAUAUAUCAUAUGAUAAUCUAUUGUCAGACAUAUCUGGGGUGUCCGACCUACCCUUCGCUCCUAACAACCGAAUCUCGGGGACUAUUCCCCCUCCUACUACCUCUAUCUCAUAUAACUUAUCAUGCUAGCUGCUAAACAUAUCAUAACAUACUGUUAGGCAUAUCUGGGGUGCCUAACCUACCCUUCGGUCCUAACAACUGAACUCUAUCACUAUCACAUAUCAUAUCACGCUAGCAUAUAACAUAUCAGGUAGUAGCAACACAGAUGAAUAUCACAAAGACAAACAUCUAUCAUACGAUCCCUACUGGUGGGCCGGCAUUGUGGCCGUAGACCCACCGCUACUGGAAGGGAACUCACCUCGUAGUAACUGCUGAUAUGUGCGGGAACUCUCUGUCUGCUGCUGCUGCUCUGGAAAUCCUCCGUCUAUAAAUCCCACAAAACACCCUAUCAGAGUCUGAUAUCUACUCUUUGGGUAAAAUGACCAUUUUACCCCUGAUCAAGUCAAGUCAAAGUCAAAGUCAACUUUCAGUUGACCUGACUCGCCGAGUUGGGCCUCCAACUCGUCGAGUCCCUAACCAAUCGAUUGUCCUUACUCCCGUCCCUACUCGUCGAGUUUGGCAUUGACUCGACGAGUUCUCCUUCUAUUCAAAUGUCCAAUGAUCCUUCAUCCGACUCGCCGAGUUGUAUGAACAACUCAUCGAGUUCAUCUUCAUCCGAUGAACACUCUGGUCUGGACUCGCCGAGUCCCUGCAUUGCUAAGUCUGGCUUCCGAUUCACUGAGUCCACUUAUAACUCACUGAUCCCACUCGACAUAACUCAAAAGGGGAAAAUCGGGGACUCGCGACUCGACUCGUCGAGUCCGAAGAACAACUCGCCGAGUCGUAUACAUGCAAUCACUAUAACUCGAUUCUGAUUGAAUCCAGUUCAUUCCAUUCAUAGAUCUAGGUUCUUAGGGCUCGUUUAACACGUAAAGUUUCCAACUUUACGUGUAUAUAAGCAUCAAUGAAGGUUAAAAGGCUCAAAAUGCACUAAAAGAGUAGAUCUAGGGCUUUUCAUGCAAUAUGGCUCCAUAAAGGUAUUAGAUCUGAGCUCCUAGAGCUCAAUCAUGCCUAGAUUUGAAGUCGCUUAACAUUAUAAGCUUAUUACUCAAAGAUCAAGACUCGAAGAGGCCUCAAAGUGACUAUUUUAAGCUCUUAAUGAGAUAAUAAUGAAGGAACAGAAAGGGUUUUCGAGUUAUACCUCACUUAACUCUGAAAUGGACUCAAAGCCUUUGCUCUUCUCCUUCUUCUUUGGUCCUUCCUUCCUUAUCUUCUACAAAGCUUCAAGAAAAUCACACAAAAGCACUCAAAUCACCAAAGGAAGGGUUAGGGUUUCGUGAGGGACACUCUGGUUGUGAAUGGGGGCCGACAUGGGGGCACAUAAGGAUGUUUAAAUAGGUUGCAAACCCUUGAAAUUAGGGUUUCAUCCAGACUGACGGACUCGUCGAGUCCAGAAUAUGGACUCGUUGAGUCGCCAACUUAAACGUGCUCAAUAUCCCGUCUCUACUCGGCAAGUCGGGCCUACAACUCGCCGACUCCAAGGCUAAAAAUGCAAAAUACUUAGAUCAAUCUUACGUAAGUGCUACAGUACUGACUGUCUUGAUUUCAAGUAAAGCACAAACUUGAGGCUCGUAGAAGAAAUAAUAGGCUGAGAUGUUUUUGAGAUAAAUUGCAGUAACCAAACUUAGAUAUUUAUGCAAUGUUUAAAAUAUAGACAUGUUUCAGAUAGUCAAGAAAUAAGUGUCGGACAGAAACUUCAAAAUUAUUAUGUUUUACCAUUAAACUCAACCGAAACAGAAGGAUUACAAACACACCAAGGAGGCAGCAGGUGAAACUGUUGACCCUUUUUGCCGAGUGAUUCUCUACCUUCAUAAAUUGAAUGAGAAUAAUCAUUAAAUUUAAGAAAUCAACACUACGUUUAUCUGUUUGAAAAUAAAAGAAGCUUUGCAUAACAUAUGAUCAAAGAAUUAGAAAGAAUAAUCCAUAAAAAUUCAGUUUGAAAAGCAUUCGUUUUUUACUUACCUGGAAAAGUAAGAAGCGAAUGACCUAGAAAAGAAGCCCAAACUAUGCAAGAAGAUUAAAUUAAAUAAAUAUCAUGAACCACCUAAAAACUCAAACCAUUGACGUUUUGGGGAAAGUAAAGUCUAAGCAAGAAAAACAGAGCCUUCAAAAUUCUGCGAAUUCAAUUCAUUGUAGGUAGAGUAUAAUAGAGAAAUAAAAUAAAUAAAUAAAUAAAUAAGUGAAAAAUGCCAAAAGCAAUCGAUUACAACUAUUAUGUGGGAAACAUGGAUCGCUUAAUUGAAAUUACUAUUUAAACCAAAUGUACUAAAAAAACGAAAAAAAUAAAAUCAUUAAGUUGUUGAAGCCAUAGCCGAGUCAGCAAAAGAAUGUCUUUCAGUUCAUGUUUUUUUCUUUACACCAAGUAACCACUCCAAAGAACAGAUUUAACAAAAAAGCAACUAAAUAUAGCAAUUGCUUGGGUUAACAAAUCAUUAAACUGGAGGGGGUUAUGAAAUUACUAGAAAAUAGUUCAAUAGCCUUAAUUAGAAGAAUAAUCAAGUGAGUAUCACAACAAGUCUAUUCAAUCAGAUAAUGGACGAAGGAAAGAGGUGCACUAGAAGCAAAGCUAAGGCAUGAACCCUGGUAAAUGUAACUUUACCUAUGCUAUAUAGCUGACUUCAAAAUAAGCCAAACUGCACGUGUGAAUUCAAAUGUUCCUCUAGAACUGCCAUCCUUGUAGGAGAUUACAACAAAGUGGUAAAAUAGAGAGUAAUGUAAAGUUUUUGUUGGAAAAAACAUUAAUCUUUUAAUAAAUAACCAAAGGAGACACCACAUACCUCUUGUUGUUUGUUCUUUAUAAACGAUCCAAAAGUUGUAUCUAUGAACUUCAGCUCCGGAGUAGUUGACUGUUUGUGAAAACUGUUAUUUCCGGACAAUCUUUGAUUUCCAAAGCAGUUAACGAUGGCCAUUCAAAAGCCUCCUUCCCCAGGCAAAAUCCCUUGAGAUUUGGAAGCUUUUCAAGUGUUAUGGAUUUCAGACAAGGGAACACAACCUCAAGUAGUCGGUCUGGUUUCAGAAUCUUCAACUUGCUUCACAAUCACAUCCAUACUCUCGCAGUCAGUUAUUUGUAGCUCUUGGAGCCGCAAUAGACUACCAACCAUGCAACCUGUGAAAACGUGUCCAAGAAGUGGACAUUUAUUAAUUGAGACCUUUGUAAGGUUUGGAAAGUUCAACACUAUCCUCCGAUUGCGCUUCCACAUAUGCUUCAGAUUAUCUAUUCCACUCAAAGUCACCUCUUUUAGCUUCUCAAAUACCACAACA
rnacentral:lncRNA from 1 species